GUACACGCUGUGACUAGCAUAUCAAUAAGCGGAGGAAAAGAAACUAACAAGGAUUCCCUCAGUAACGGCGAGUGAAGCGGGAAGAGCUCAAAUUUGAAAUCUUAAAGGGUUCCCUUUCACGAAUUGUAGUUUAAAGAAGUGUUUUCUGCUGAGGUUUUGGUAAAAGUUCUUUGGAAUAGGACAUCACUAGAGGGUGAGAAUCCCGUCUAUGACUUGCUACUUUGUAACUUUGUGAUACACUUUCAAAGAGUCGGGAUUGUUUGGGAAUGCAGCCCAAAACGGGAGGUAAAUUUCUUCUAAGGCUAAAUAUUGGCGAGAGACCGAUAGCGAACAAGUACCGUGAGGGAAAGAUGAAAAGAACUUUGAAAAGAGAGUUAAAUAGUACGUGAAAUUGUCAAAAGGGAAGCGUUUAACACCAGUGUUGUUUUCUGAAAAUCAACCUCUGUUAGCUUUAUGCAUGUUUGUUUAGACCUAAUCAGCUAUCUUGCAUGUUCUAUUGUUUGCAGUGGUGCACUUUUCAGUUUACAGGUCAACAUCAGUUUUUUUUACCGUAAAAAAGUUAAAGAAAGGUAGCUCAUGGCUCCGGUCGUGAGUGUUAUAGUCUUUUUCCUAUGCGGUAGGAGAGACUGAGGUCUGCAGUGUAGGCUAUUUGGCUAGAUACUCAGGUGCUAUGUGAUACCAUUUCAUAGACAACUUGUUGAUUAUGUUUUGUCUAUUGCAUACUCGCUUGUACUAUCAUACCUACGCUUAGGAUGUUGACGCAUGAGAUAUACGC
rnacentral:rRNA from 1 species